CCUACGGGAGGCAGCAGUAGGGAAUCUUCCACAAUGGGCGAAAGCCUGAUGCAGCAACGCCGCGUGGGUGAAGAAGGUCUUCGGAUCGUAAAACCCUGUUGUUAGAGAAGAAAGUGCGUGAGAGUAACUGUUCACGUUUCGACGGUACCUAACCAGAAAGCCACGGCUAACUACGUGCCAGCAGCCGCGGUAAUACGGAGGUGGCAAGCGUUAGCCGGAUUUAUUGGGCGUAAAGGGAACGCAGGCGGUCUGUUAAGUCUGAGGUGAAAGCCUUCGGCUUAACCGGGGUAGUGCAUUGGAAACUGGGAGACUUGAGUGCAGAAGAGGAGAGUGGAACUCCAUGUGUAGCGGUGAAAUGCGUAGAUAUAUGGAAGAACACCAGUGGCGAAAGCGGCUCUCUGGUCUGUAACUGACGCUGAGGUUCGAAAGCGUGGGUAGCAAACAGGAUUAGAUACCCCUGUAGUC
rnacentral:rRNA from 1 species